CUUAGCUCAGCUGGAUAGAGCAACGGCCUUCUAAGCCGUAGGUCAUUGGUUCGAAUCCAAUA
rnacentral:tRNA from 3 species